rnacentral:lncRNA from 1 species
CACCAUAUUAGAAUUUAUUAUAAUACAAACAAGUCCAAACACAAUAUAAUAUCUAAUUAAGAAAAUAUGAACAUUUACUAUUUUUUUAUGGUAACAUUUUUUCCCAUUCUUCGAACUGGAAUAACCAACAUUUGAGUCUCUUAUUCAGUUCAGAUAGGCCCCUCAGGUUGGACCAGUGGGCACCAACUGUGCAAAGUAAGUUUCCACUUGCAGAGUGUUUGCAAGAUGGAACUUCGUGCCUUCUCAUGGUCUGUCUUUUACGGUUUCUUUGUCAUCCUCCUUAUUUCCUUCCCAUUAGGCAGCUCAGUCCUUGAGUUGUUCAGUAGAAAGACACAGUGUGUACAUGUGUAGCAUCACUGCAUGUCCAACCAAGGACACAGAUCAUACAGGAGGGACGCUAGUUAACAGUCUUUGAAAGGGGCAUCACAAAAACCUGAUAUAAGGCAAUUGCUUAUGUGCCAUCAACAGCAGCUGUUUAUGUGACAGGCUUCAAAACUCAAAGCUAUAUUUCCAAAACUGGCCUCAAAGAAAAGGCUUAAAAGUUUGUUUUCUCUUUAAAAAGCUUUUAAAUUUUGUCCACAAUUAUUACUAUAAAUAAGAAUAAAUUAAAAGUCCUUAUAUUAU